rnacentral:rRNA from 1 species
GACCUGCGGAAGGAUCAUUAUCAAAACAGCGGACUUCGGUCCUUGCUGCACCCUUGUCUUUUGCGUACCGUAUGUUUCCUCGGCGGGCUUGCCUGCCGGUUGGACAUUAUCAAACCUUUUUGUAGUUGCAAUCAGCGUCAGAAAACAAACAAUAAUUACAACUUUCAACAACGGAUCUCUUGGUUCUGGCAUCGAUGAAGAACGCAGCGAAAUGCGAAAAGUAGUGUGAAUUGCAGAAUUCAGUGAAUCAUCGAAUCUUUGAACGCACAUUGCGCCCCUUGGUAUUCCAUGGGGCAUGCCUGUUCGAGCGUCAUUUUGUACCCUCAAGCACUGCUUGGUGUUGGGCGUUUGUCCUGCAAAGGACUCGCCUGAAAGCGAUUGGCGGCCAACGUACUGGUGGUAGAGCGCAGCACAAUUUGCGUCUCUCCCUUCUACGUCGGCGUCCAUGAAGCCUUUUUUCAACGUUUGACCUCGGAUCAGGUAGGGAUACCCGCUGAACUUAAGCAUAUCAAUAA